rnacentral:rRNA from 1 species
AACGAACGCUGGCGGCAUGCCUAACACAUGCAAGUCGAACGAGAUCUUCGGGUCUAGUGGCGCACGGGUGCGUAACGCGUGGGAAUCUGCCCUUUGGUUCGGAAUAACAGUUGGAAACGACUGCUAAUACCGGAUGAUGACGAAAGUCCAAAGAUUUAUCGCCAGAGGAUGAGCCCGCGUAGGAUUAGCUAGUUGGUGUGGUAAAGGCGCACCAAGGCGACGAUCCUUAGCUGGUCUGAGAGGAUGAUCAGCCACACUGGGACUGAGACACGGCCCAGACUCCUACGGGAGGCAGCAGUGGGGGAUAUUGGACAAUGGGCGAAAGCUUGAUCCAGCAAUGCCGCGUGAGUGAUGAAGGCCUUAGGGUUGUAAAGCUCUUUUACCCGGGAUGAUAAUGACAGCACCGGGAGAAUAAGCUCCGGCUAACUCCGUGCCAGCCGCCGCGGUAA